GACGAACGCUGGCGGCGUGCUUAACACAUGCAAGUCGAACGGAAAGGCCCUGCUUUUGUGUGGUGCUCGAGUGGCGAACGGGUGAGUAACACGUGAGUAACCUGCCCUUGACUUUGGGAUAACUUCAGGAAACUGGGGCUAAUACCGGAUAGGAGCUCCUGCUGCAUGGUGGGGGUUGGAAAGUUUCGGCGGUUGGGGAUGGACUCGCGGCUUAUCAGCUUGUUGGUGGGGUAGUGGCUUACCAAGGCUUUGACGGGUAGCCGCCCUGGGAGGGUGACCGGCACCAUGGGACUUAGGGAGGGCCCAGACUGCAAACGGGAGCAAUAGGGGGGAAUAUUGCACAAUGGGCGGAAGCCUGAUGCAGCAACGCCGCGUGCGGGAUGACGGCCUUCGGGUUGUAAACCGCUUUCGCCUGUGACGAAGCGUGAGUGACGGUAAUGGGUAAAGAAGCACCGGCUAACUACGUG
rnacentral:rRNA from 1 species